rnacentral:rRNA from 1 species
UUCGGAGGUGGCGAGUGGCGGUACGGGUGAGUAAUGCCUAGGGAUCUGCCCAGUCGAGGGGGAUAACAGUUGGAAACGACUGCUAAUACCGCAUACGCCCUACGGGGGAAAGGAGGGGACCUUCGGGCCUUCCGCGAUUGGAUGAACCUAGGUGGGAUUAGCUAGUUGGUGAGGUAAUGGCUCACCAAGGCGACGAUCCCUAGCUGUUCUGAGAGGAUGAUCAGCCACACUGGGACUGAGACACGGCCCAGACUCCUACGGGAGGCAGCAGUGGGGAAUAUUGCACAAUGGGGGAAACCCUGAUGCAGCCAUGCCGCGUGUGUGAAGAAGGCCUUCGGGUUGUAAAGCACUUUCAGUAGGGAGGAAAGGUUGCAGUUUAAUAAACUGUAGCUGUGACGUUACCUACAGAAGAAGGACCGGCUAACUCCGUGCCAGCAGCCGCGGUAAUACGGAGGGUCCGAGCGUUAAUCGGAAUUACUGGGCGUAAAGCGUGCGCAGGCGGUUUGUUAAGCGAGAUGUGAAAGCCCUG